rnacentral:rRNA from 1 species
GAUGAACGCUGGCGGCGUGCCUAAUACAUGCAAGUAGAACGCUGAAGGAGGAGCUUGCUCUUCUGGAUGAGUUGCGAACGGGUGAGUAACGCGUAGGUAACCUGCCUGGUAGCGGGGGAUAACUAUUGGAAACGAUAGCUAAUACCGCAUGACAACAGUUAUUGCAUGAUAACUGUUUAAAAGGGGCAACUGCUCCACUACCAGAUGGACCUGCGUUGUAUUAGCUAGUUGGUGAGGUAACGGCUCACCAAGGCGACGAUACAUAGCCGACCUGAGAGGGUGAUCGGCCACACUGGGACUGAGACACGGCCCAGACUCCUACGGGAGGCAGCAGUAGGGAAUCUUCGGCAAUGGACGGAAGUCUGACCGGGCAACGCCGCGUGAGUGAAGAAGGUUUUCGGAUCGUAAAGCUCUGUUGUAAGAGAAGAACGAGUGUGAGAAUGGAAAGUUCACACUGUGACGGUAUCUCACCAGAAAGGGACGGCUAACUACGUG